CUAACAAUCAACAGGAUAUUACUUCAAGUAUUGACAUUAAGACCCUGCUCUUGCAAGAUGCUGAGCACUCUGGCUCCAACCCAACAAAGCAUUGCUCUACAGGAGCAGAGCCGUAGUGUUCAGCAACUUGCAGGAUUGACCUCUUAUGGAGCAACACAUAACUAUGUUCUAGUGCUGUCUACCUAACUCCCAAGUUAACUCAUCUCACCACAAAGGCUCUCUGGAACCAGUAGACAUAAAACACUCCAUGUCGGAAACAUACAGCAUACAGCUCUGAGCAAAGGGGCCUAUUUUCGUCAUGGAUAAGAUAAACAAUGGCCUAAUUGGAGGAAACAUCUCUCCUGGAUGGAGCCCAUCUUGGAGCUGUCAGCUGCAGAAGUUACAAAUGGCUUUGUCGCUUUGUAACAUAAACAGUGUUUGAAAAUGUUGGUGCUGAGCUGUUGAUAUUAA